AGAGGGCUUCUUUUUUAAAUUAACUGGUUUUAGGGUGACAGGAGAAGGAAUUUCUGCUUUGUCUCAAUCUCAUGUUGGAUCCAUACAUGAAAUUGGAUGGUGUUAUAUCUGGAAUGCCCAAAGAUCAUAUUGGACAUCUCUAGAGCUUGAAACUUAUCUCAUCAUUUCCUAGGCAACAUCUCUUCCUCUUGUUCCCCAAGAUCAUCCAUACAUUCUAUUAUAAACAAAGGUCCAAUAAUUUCUGAAAUGAAGCACAGAUUGAACUUCUAGUGGGAUGUUGAGCAUUUGGCACUGGAUUAUAUGGACGAGUUAAAUCAUAGCAAAGUCCUUGUGCUGCUUGGUGGGCAAGAGAAAGAAGAACGGGAAGAA